GUAGGUGAACCUGCGGAAGGAUCAUUACUGGGUUUAGGACUUCGUGUCCACUCACCCGCCCUUUGUCAUGAGACGCGAAAGCAACUCACAUCAUUUCGAUCCCUGGCUCUUGGGCGCCCCCUACUAUUGGCUUAGUGGGGUACCGUCCAUUAGCCGCGGGUCGGCAUUACAAACCCACGCGGAUUACUGAAGUCUGAUACAAUUUUUUAAACGAAAUUAAAACUUUCAACAACGGAUCUCUUGGUUCUG
rnacentral:misc_RNA from 1 species